UGGGGAAUAUUGGACAAUGGGGGCAACCCUGAUCCAGCAAUGCCGCGUGAGUGAUGAAGGCCUUAGGGUUGUAAAGCUCUUUUGCCAGGGACGAUGAUGACGGUACCUGGAGAAUAAGCCCCGGCUAACUUCGUGCCAGCAGCCGCGGUAAUACGAAGGGGGCGAGCGUUGUUCGGAAUUACUGGGCGUAAAGGGCGCGUAGGCGGCGAACCAAGUCAGAUGUGAAAGUCCUGGGCUUAACCUGGGGACUGCAUUUGAUACUGGCUUGCUUGAAUUCGGGAGAGGAUAGCGGAAUUCCCAGUGUAGAGGUGAAAUUCGUAGAUAUUGGGAAGAACACCGGUGGCGAAGGCGGCUAUCUGGACCGACAUUGACGCUGAGGCGCGAAAGCGUGGGGAGCAAACAG
rnacentral:rRNA from 1 species